rnacentral:lncRNA from 1 species
GGGCAUUCUGAGGGCAGUAAACAGAGUCAGUCAUAAGCAGGACCUUUAGAUUGCUGCUAAGAUAACUUCCUCUCUCUAUAAAGACUUCUACAAACCAGGAGAAUUGAACUCAAUGAUAUUAGAGAUGAUGGAACAGCAGCUGUCCCAUGAAGAAAAGAUCAAAGGAAUACAGCCAAAAAUGGCAGGAGAAAAGUAUUAUUCGAGCAACAAGUAAGCCUGAGCUUUGAUGUGGAUUUGGACGAGGUGAUUCAGCUGUCUUUGGUCCUUUGCUCCUACCCCAGAGCUUCCUUAUCCUCUUGGAGCUGCUGUUCUCGGGGCUCUGCAAUGAAUCAAGUGCCGGGCUCUCCUCCACUAUGUCCUCCUCUGAUGUCUGCCUCGGACUCUAUCUCAGCCUUUUCUGCCCUCCAGUGAGACUUUUUCAAGGAUGGCAUACUUGUCAGAAAGAAUCAAGUCAGUGACUAUUAAAUGAUUGAUAAGGUGCACUGUAUUGCUGGUUAUUUUUUCACUCCCUUAUCCAUUAUCCAUCACUCAUGAAUGGAGCCCCAGCUGUGCAUCAAUCACUAUCGGGUAUGGAUGUUACUUAUAUGAAGACCUUGCCCUCAUGAUCAAAGCUGGAGACACAGAGAAUUAACAGUUAACAAUAACCAUGCUUCCAGUAGUUAAACUCUGAGACAGAGCAAAGCAGGUUUGCUAGGGCAGUAGACAGUAGUUUUCAGACUAUAAGAGCAUUAUUUUCAUCUCUGUAUCCUUUUUUCAUAGCAUAAUGGCUGGCCCAUGAGCGACAUGCCAUGGAUAUUUUGGCCUAAGCUUUUAUCAAUGAGAUACUGAGAUGGGCUGAUGAGAACAAUAUUUGGGGUCUCUCCCUGUUCCUAUUAUAUCACUACACUUUUUGGGAAAGAGAAAUCUCUGCCUUAAGUGAACUGCUUCUGCCCAUGAGAGUAGAGCUGAAAAGUAGAUUGUGCUCUAUUUUUUGUCUUCUUCUUAAAAUUGGUUCUGAGUUGGAGAAGGAAAAAAAGACUUGUUAGACAAUAAGACAGUAACAUGGAGGUUGGAAUAAGUUCCUUUUGCUCAGCUCUGCUCUUACUAAAAAAGGCCACUGGGGCCUGGGAGGUGCCAUGAGGCCAUUUGGCACUGUCCCUAGCAGGGAAUAGAC